AAAUAGUUAAUUGUUUUUGAAUUAAUUAGAGAUUUAGUUUUUUGUAUCUUGUGAGAGUGUUAAUUGGACGAUAGGGUAUAGUACUGUGAAGGAAUUUUGAAAAUAAUGAUAAAUAUUUUUGGGUGUAGUAAAGGGAGUGUUGUACCUUUUGUAUUAGGGUUUAAUGAUAAUUUUGAUGUUUAUUGGGUUCCCGAAUAACUUUGAGCUAUAAGGGGUUUGAUGUACAGUCGUUUUAAAGAUUGUGUUGAUUCUUUUAUAGAAAUGAAAUUUUAUUCGAAAGGUUUGAUAUCUGGUUAGAAUUAAAGAUUAUAUAUUUUGCUGUGAUGGUAUUUAUUGGUUAAAUUCAUUGUUUUGAUUUUCUGGGAUAAGCUUGGAAAUUUUUUAUAUAUUAAUGUUGUUGCGGAAUUGAGGCUUAGAAUUUGCUUUUGUUUUGUAAUAAAAAAUUUUUGUUAAUGUUAUAGUUUAGAGUUUUAGAUUUUUUAAUUAAUUUAUAUUGAAAGAAUAUAUAUUAAAAUUAGUAUAAUUUAAUGAAGAUUUAAUUUUUUGAGGUUAUGAUUUUAAGGUUAAAAUUGAGAAAGAAUUCGGCAAAUUUUAUCUUUGAAUGUUUAUCAAAAACAUUGUAUUUUGAGUUAAUAAAAUAUAGGACCUGCUCAAUGAGUAUUUUUAAUUGCUGUGGUAUUAUGACUAUACGAAGGUAUUGAAAUAAGACUUUAAUUGGGUGCUAAGAGAAUGGUUUAACAUGGAUAAGCUUUUUUCUUAUUUAAAUUAAAAUUUAAUUUAAAAAUGAAAAAGUUUUUAUAUGAUUCUAGGACAAGAAGACCCUAUGAAUUUUUCUAAAAUUUAUUUUAGAGGUUUGUUAGGAGAGAGGUUAAAUUAAUUUUUAGUUAAUUGGGGUGAUUUUUAAAUUUUGAGAAACUUUAGAAAUAUGUUUUUGGAUCCAAUAGUAUUGAUAGGUUGAAUAAAAUACUCUAGGGAUAACAGCGUUAUUACUUUGGAUAGUUCAUAUAGAUAAAGUAGAUUGCGACCUCGAUGUUGGAUUAGGAUACCUUUAUUAUGAAGAAGUUAUAAAAGGGAGUUUGCUCAACUCUUAAAUUCCUACAUGAUCUGAGUUCAGACCGGCGUGAGCCAGGUUGGUUUCUAUCUAGAUUAUGAUGAAGUCUUAUUAGUACGAAAGGAAUUUGAGGUUAAAAUUAUUUUUGUGAAAUUUGGAUUGAGUUAUGUUAGCUAUUUU
rnacentral:rRNA from 1 species